CGGACGGGUGAGUAAUGUCUGGGAAACUGCCCGAUGGCGGGGGAUAACUACUGGAAACGGUAGCUAAUACCGCAUAAUGUCUGCGGACCAAAGCGGGGGACCUCCGGGCCUCGCGCCAUCAGAUGAACCCAUAUGGGAUUAGCUUGUAGGUAAGGUAACGGCUUACCUAGGCGACGAUCCCUAGCUGGUCUGAGAGGAUGAUCAGCCACACUGGGACUGAGACACGGCCCAG
rnacentral:rRNA from 1 species